AUUCCAGCUCCAAUAGCGUAUAUUAAAGUUGUUGCAGUUAAAAAGCUCGUAGUUGGAUUUCUGGUUGGAGCGACCGGUCGGGCAUUGAUUUGUCUGCACUGGAGUCGGUUCUGGCUAUCCUCUUGGAAAGUGCGUCUGUCAUUAAGUUGUCGGGCGUAUGAUCCAGGCCUUUUACUGUGAAAAAAUUAGAGUGUUUAAAGCAGGCCUUCGCCUUGAAUACAUUAGCAUGGAAUAAUAAGAUAGGACUUUGGUCUAUUUUGUUGGUUUGCAGACCGAAGUAAUGAUUAAUAGGGAUAGUUGGGGGUAUUUAUAUUCCAAUGUCAGAGGUGAAAUUCUUAGAUUUUUGGAAGAUAAACUUAUGCGAAAGCAUUUACCAAGGAUGUUUUCAUUA
rnacentral:rRNA from 1 species